UACGUAGGGUGCAAGCGUUGUCCGGAAUUAUUGGGCGUAAAGAGCUCGUAGGCGGCCUGUCGCGUCUGCUGUGAAAUCCCGGGGCUUAACCCCGGGCGUGCAGUGGAUACGGGCUGGCUGGAGGCAGGCAGGGGAGAACGGAAUUCCCGGUGUAGCGGUGAAAUGCGCAGAUAUCGGGAGGAACACCGGUGGCGAAGGCGGUUCUCUGGGCCUGUUCUGACGCUGAGGAGCGAAAGCGUGGGGAGCGAACAGG
rnacentral:rRNA from 1 species